rnacentral:rRNA from 1 species
GAUGAACGCUGGCGGCGUGCCUAAUACAUGCAAGUCGAGCGAACAGAUGAGGAGCUUGCUCCUCUGACGUUGUCGGCGGACGGGUGAGUAACACGUGGAUAACCUACCUCUCAGACUGGGAUAACUUCGGGAAACCGUGUCUAAUACCGGAUAAUAUAUUGAACCUCAUUGUGCACUAGUUGAAUACGGUUUUUCUUUCGCUUAUAGCUUGAUCCGCGCCGCAUUAGCUAGUUGGUAAGGUAACGGCUUAACAAGGCAACGAUGCGUAGCCGCCCUGAGAGGGUGAUCGCAUACACGGGAAGUGAGACACGGUACAGACUCCUACGGGAGGACGCAGUAGGGAAUCCUACGCAAAGGGCGAAAGCCUGACGGAGCAACGCCGCGUGAGUGAUGAAGGUCUUCGGAUCGGAAAACUAUGUUAUUAGGGAAGAAGAAAUGUGUAAGUAACUAUGAACGUAUUGACGGUACCUAAUCAGAAAGCCACGGCUAACUCCGUG